rnacentral:rRNA from 1 species
UACGAAGGGGGCUAGCGUUGCUCGGAAUCACUGGGCGUAAAGGGUGCGUAGGCGGCUUCUUAAGUCGGUGGUGAAAUCCUGGAGCUCAACUCCAGAACUGCCUUCGAUACUGGGAGUCUUCGAGUCCGGGAGAGGUGAGUGGAACUGCGAGUGUAGAGGUGAAAUUCGUAGAUAUUCGCAAGAACACCAGUGGCGAAGGCGGCUCACUGGCCCGGUACUGACGCUGAGGUGCGAAAGCGUGGGGAGCAAACAGG